UGCUAAGGUCCGUUUUCCUGUGGGGUUUUCAGGAAUUUCGUUAGCAGUCACUGCGGGCUCCUUGAGUUAAGUGGUGCUCCUGGAUACGCCAUAUUUUUCCUUGUUCUUUAGGUUUUGAUCCCCUUCAGUCAUGUCCGACGACGAAGAAGUUUACUCCGAAGAAGAGGAGGAGGAAGAGGAAGUCAUUGAGACAAAAACGACCACCACCACUACUACCAAAGUCGA